GGAAUAUUCGUCAAUGGGGGAAACCCUGAACGAGCAGUGCCGCGUGAAGGAAGAAGGUCCUAUGGAUUGUAAACUUCUGUUGUAAAGGAAGAACGACCUAAGUAGGAAAUGACUUAGGAGUGACGGUACUUUAUUAGAAAGCUCCGGCUAACUACGUGCCAGCAGCCGCGGUAAUACGUAGGGAGCGAGCGUUAUCCGGAAUUAUUGGGUGUAAAGGGUGCGUAGGCGGUUUGAAAAGUCAGUGGUGAAAGCCUAGAGCUUAACUCUAGUAAGCCAUUGAAACUGUCGAACUUGAGUAUGGUAGAGGCAAGCGGAAUUUCUAGUGUAGCGGUAAAAUGCGUAGAUAUUAGAAGGAACACCAGUGGCGAAGGCGGCUUGCUGGGCCAAGACUGACGCUGAGGCACGAAAGCGUGGGGAGCAAAU
rnacentral:rRNA from 1 species